GACAGAGGUGCCGAGCGUUAGGCGGAAUCACUGGGCUUAAAGCGUGUGUAGGCGGGCGGGCAAGUACCUUGUGAAAUCCCACGGCUCAACCGUGGAACUGCUGGGUAUACUGCCUGUCUUGAGCCAGCCAGGGGCAGUCGGAACAGACGGUGGAGCGGUGAAAUGCGUAGAUAUCGUCUGGAACGCCAAAGGUGAAAACAGACUGCUGGGGCUGAUGCUGACGCUGAGACACGAAAGCCAGGGGAGCGAACGGG
rnacentral:rRNA from 1 species